rnacentral:rRNA from 1 species
UACAGAGGGUGCGAGCGUUAAUCGGAGUUACUGGGCGUAAAGCGCACGUAGGCGGCUUGGUAUGUCGGGUGUGAAAUCCCCGGGCUCAACCUGGGAACUGCAUCCGAAACUGCCUUGCUCGAGUAUGGGAGAGGGAAGUGGAAUUUCCGGUGUAGCGGUGAAAUGCGUAGAUAUCGGAAGGAACAUCAGUGGCGAAAGCGGCUCACUGGCUCGGUUCUGACGCUGAGGCGCGAAAGCGUGGGGAGCAAACAGG